GACGAACGCUGGCGGCGUGCCUAAUACAUGCAAGUUGAGCGAUGAAGAUUGGUGCUUGCCCCAAUUUGAAGAGCAGCGAACGGGUGAGUAACGCGUGGGGAAUCUGCCUUUGAGCGGGGGACAACAUUUGGAAACGAAUGCUAAUACCGCAUAACAACUUUAAACAUAAGUUUUAAGUUUGAAAGAUGCAAUUGCAUCACUCAAAGAUGAUCCCGCGUUGUAUUAGCUAGUUGGUGAGGUAAAGGCUCACCAAGGCGAUGAUACAUAGCCGACCUGAGAGGGUGAACGGCCACAUUGGGACUGAGACACGGCCCAAACUCCUACGGGAGGCAGCAGUAGGGAAUCUUCGGCAAUGGACGAAAGUCUGACCGAGCAACGCCGCGUGAGUGAAGAAGGUUUUCGGAUCGUAAAACUCUGUUGGUAGAGAAGAACGUUGGUGAGAGUGGAAAGCUCAUCAAGUGACGGUAACUACCCAGAAAGGGACGGCUAACUACGUG
rnacentral:rRNA from 1 species